rnacentral:rRNA from 1 species
AACCCCGGCGAGGGGAGUGAAAAAGAACCUGAAACCGUGUACGUACAAGCAGUGGGAGCCCCACCACUAAGCCAGUGGUGAACUCCACAUACGCAUCCUUUGCUGAGGAUACGGUUAACGGAGCGAAAGCGACGUUCAACCUCAAAAGAAGCAGAGGGGGCUUAGUGGUGGGGUGACUGCGUACCUUUUGUAUAAUGGGUCAGCGACUUAUAUUCUGUAGCAAGGUUAACCGAAUAGGGGAGCCGGAGGGAAACCGAGUCUUAAUUGGGCGUUAAGUUGCAGGGUAUAGACCCGAAACCCGGUGAUCUAGCCAUGGGCAGGUUGAAGGUUGGGUAACACUAACUGGAGGACCGAACCGACUAAUGUUGAAAAAUUAGCGGAUGACCUGUGGCUGGGGGUGAAAGGCCAAUCAAACCGGGAGAUAGCUGGUUCUCCCCGAAAGCUAUUUAGGUAGCGCCUCGUGAAUUCAUCUCCGGGGGUAGAGCACUGUUUCGGCUAGGGGGUCAUCCCGACUUACCAACCCGAUGCAAACUGCGAAUACCGGAGAAUGUUAUCACGGGAGACACACGGCGGGUGCUAACGUCCGUCGUGAAGAGGGAAACAACCCAGACCGCCAGCUAAGGUCCCAAAGUCAUGGUUAAGUGGGAAACGAUGUGGGAAGGCCCAGACAGCCAGGAUGUUGGCUUAGAAGCAGCCAUCAUUUAAAGAAAGCGUAAUAGCUCACUGGUCGAGUCGGCCUGCGCGGAAGAUGUAACGGGGCUAAACCAUGCACCGAAGCUGCGGCAGCGACACUGUGUGUUGUUGGGUAGGGGAGCGUUCUGUAAGCCGUUGAAGGUGUGUCGUGAGGCAUGCUGGAGGUAUCAGAAGUGCGAAUGCUGACAUAAGUAACGAUAAUGCGGGUGAAAAACCCGCACGCCGGAAGACCAAGGGUUCCUGUCCAACGUUAAUCGGGGCAGGGUGAGUCGACCCCUAAGGCGAGGCCGAAAGGCGUAGUCGAUGGGAAACGGGUUAAUAUUCCCGUACUUGGUGUUACUGCGAAGGGGGGACGGAGAAGGCUAUGUUGGCCGGGCGACGGUUGUCCCGGUUUAAGCGUGUAGGUGUGUGUUCCAGGUAAAUCCGGUUCACUUUAACACUGAGGCGUGAUGACGAGGCACUACGGUACUGAAGCAACAAAUGCCCUGCUUCCAGGAAAAGCCUCUAAGCAUCAGGUAACAUCAAAUCGUACCCCAAACCGACACAGGUGGUCAGGUAGAGAAUACCAAGGCGCUUGAGAGAACUCGGGUGAAGGAACUAGGCAAAAUGGUGCCGUAACUUCGGGAGAAGGCACGCUGACAUGUAGGUGAAGUGAUUUACUCAUGGAGCUGAAGUCAGUCGAAGAUACCAGCUGGCUGCAACUGUUUAUUAAAAACACAGCACUGUGCAAACACGAAAGUGGACGUAUACGGUGUGACGCCUGCCCGGUGCCGGAAGGUUAAUUGAUGGGGUCAGCGCAAGCGAAGCUCCUGAUCGAAGCCCCGGUAAACGGCGGCCGUAACUAUAACGGUCCUAAGGUAGCGAAAUUCCUUGUCGGGUAAGUUCCGACCUGCACGAAUGGCGUAAUGAUGGCCAGGCUGUCUCCACCCGAGACUCAGUGAAAUUGAACUCGCUGUGAAGAUGCAGUGUACCCGCGGCAAGACGGAAAGACCCCGUGAACCUUUACUAUAGCUUGACACUGAACAUUGAGCCUUGAUGUGUAGGAUAGGUGGGAGGCUUUGAAGUGUGGACGCCAGUCUGC